GAUGAACGCUAGCUACAGGCUUAACACAUGCAAGUCGAGGGGCAGCAUGGGGUUUGCUUGCAAACCCUGAUGGCGACCGGCGCACGGGUGAGUAACGCGUAUCCAACCUUCCCGUCACUCGGGGACAGCCCAGCGAAAGCUGGAUUAACCCCCGAUGUUGUCAUAUGAUAGCAUUAGAGUGUGACGAAAGGCUAACGGUGACGGAUGGGGAUGCGUCUGAUUAGGUAGUAGGCGGGGUAACGGCCCACCUAGCCGACGAUCAGUAGGGGUUCUGAGAGGAAGGUCCCCCACAUUGGAACUGAGACACGGUCCAAACUCCUACGGGAGGCAGCAGUGAGGAAUAUUGGUCAAUGGGCGAGAGCCUGAACCAGCCAAGUAGCGUGCAGGACGACGGCCCUACGGGUUGUAAACUGCUUUUAUGAAGGAAUAAAGUCACCCACGUGUGGGUGUUUGCAUGUACUUUAUGAAUAAGGACCGGCUAAUUCCGUG
rnacentral:rRNA from 1 species